rnacentral:rRNA from 1 species
GAUGAACGCUGGCGGCGUGCCUAAUACAUGCAAGUCGAGCGAAUGGAUUAAGAGCUUGCUCUUAUGAAGUUAGCGGCGGACGGGUGAGUAACACGUGGGUAACCUGCCCAUAAGACUGGGAUAACUCCGGGAAACCGGGGCUAAUACCGGAUAACAUUUUGAACCGCAUGGUUCGAAAUUGAAAGGCGGCUUCGGCUGUCACUUAUGGAUGGACCCGCGUCACAUUAGCUAGUUGGUGAGGUAACGGCUCACAAAGGCAACGAUGCGUACCCGACCUGAGAGGGUGAUCGGCCACACUGGGACUGAGACACGGCUCAGACUCCUACGGGAGGCAGCAGUAGGGAAUCUUCCGCAAUGGAUGAAAGUCUGACGGAGCAACGCCGCGUGGGUGAUGAAGGCUUUCGGGUCGUAAAACUCUGUUGUUAGGGAAGAACAAGUGCUAGUUGAAUAAGCUGGCACCUUGACGGUACCUAACCAGAAAGCCACGGCUAACUACCUGCCAGCAGCCGCUGUAA